UUUUCCGGUUUGUCUGAAUUGUCCUUGUGUUUUCUGAUUUGUCAUUUUCCUUUUAUAUUUCUUAUUGUGUUUUUGGUCUGUUUACGGUCCGUGUACUUUUUGGUAUUUGAAGUUUCUUUUUAUAAACAGAAACGAAAAUGAAAUGGUUUUUUAAUUAUGUGCUGGAAAUGUCCCAGGUUGUUCUCGCCUGUCGGACACACACUUGGAAUUAGAAGCGGCAAAAGCUAUAAACGAGUAUUUAUUUAUUUAUUUACUGGUGGGGCCAACAUAUGGCCGCAAAAUGAUGAAGGGAUAUCUGUCCACGAAAGGCAUACAUGCUGCAGAAGGACGAAUUGGGUCAGUUUUAAAGGAGGUGCAUCGGCCUUAUCAUGAAGCAAGAUGCCAAGCCUGCAGUGAUCACCUAUGGUAUGUGGGAUCAAGUGCGAGUAGACCAUGGAAAGGAGUUUUACCUGACACUGUUCAUGCAGGAGAUGCUGUCACACCAUCGGUUCAAUCAGGAGAGACUGCCUUAUCUACAGACUUCAUCUACACGAAACCACACAGUUGAAUGACUUUGGCCUGAGAUCAACAACCGUGUUAACUAUCCCUUGAAAACAGCCCUUCUGCAGCUGAUGGACCAAGAGGAGAUCAAUAUGGAGGACAACCUUGUAAAAUACUGUGUGUCCAAUCUAACUUCUAGGCUGUGCCACACUGGUCUUACAAGCGUGGCAGAAUCAUGGAAUGCUCAUAUGAUUCCAGGAAAAGGCAUACCAAAUCACUUUGCAGAACCUGGGUGUAAACGAAGAAUUACAUCAGAACUCUUGCCACAUUCAUUUGGAGCUGCAGACCUUUACAGACAGCAUGUAGGAUCUGCACUGACAACACACUCAACGUUUGGAGUUGAUCCCUUUACAACAGUACAGGACAAACUCAGAACGGAGAAUCAUUUUUCAGAGAAAUAUCCUGACAUUUCACAUUUGUUUCAUAGAGCAGUAAACAACAACUUUGCUCCAUACAAACAAGCCUUGCUUUAUCUGACAAACACAACUCAGAGAAAUGCAUGAACUGGUGCAUUUGCAAGCUACAGAACAUACUGAACUGAAACAACUACAAUACAUAACUGUAAGGGUUUACCUUUCUGUGAGUAAUUAAAACAUUACUCUUCCAUAAAAAAGGAUUUCAAAACUGAAAAAGCAGCAGUUAGACCUGCAACUUCUAUUGCACUGUUGUUGACUUCUCUACAUUUUGCACAGUGUGGAGAAGCCUCCUUCCACUGCUCCACACAUGUCUUGCAGCCAAUAAUGGUUCUGCAGCACAGCGACAGCAUUGGCUCUUCAAUGAUAUCUGCAAAAGUAACGUGACAGAAGACUGUUUUGUUCAGAGGAUAUGUUUUCUUUUCUCCAAGUCUACUUAUAUGCUGAUACAUGUUUAGUCAUGCAGUUAUUCCACAUAUUCUUAUUGAUUUGCAAGCAUUCAUGUACUAACUUAGUUUGAUUGUAAGCGAAAGGUGAAUAAAUCAAGUCCUCUCUGCACAAAGGCUCUUUUAAAUUUAA